UGAGGAAUAUUGGUCAAUGGGCGGAAGCCUGAACCAGCCAUCCCGCGUGAAGGAAGAAGGCCUCAUGGGUUGUAAACUUCUUUUCUGUUUGAAGAAUAAGCUUGUCGAGACAAGUGAUGCCGGUAGGACAGGAAUAAGCAUCGGCUAACUCCGUGCCAGCAGCCGCGGUAAUACGGAGGAUGCAAGCGUUAUCCGGAUUUAUUGGGUUUAAAGGGUGCGCAGGUGGUUUAAUAAGUCAGUGGUGAAAGUCUGCCGCUUAACGGUAGGAUUGCCAUUCAUACUGUUGGACUUGAAUAUGGAUGAGGUAGGCGGAAUGUGUAGUGUAGCGGUGAAAUGCUUAGACAUUACACAGAACACCGAUUGCGAAGGCAGCUUACUAAUCCAUGAUUGACGCUGAGGCACGAAAGCGUGGGGAUCAAACAG
rnacentral:rRNA from 1 species